GACGAACGCUGGCGGCGUGCCUAAUACAUGCAAGUCGAGCGGACCAAAGGGAGCUUGCUCCUGGAGGUUAGCGGCGAACGGGUGAGUAACACGUGGGCAACCUGCCUGUAAGACUGGGAUAACAUCGAGAAAUCGGUGCUAAUACCGGAUAAUAAAAAGAACUGCAUGGUUCUUUUUUGAAAGAUGGUUUCGGCUAUCACUUACAGAUGGGCCCGCGGCGCAUUAGCUAGUUGGUGAGGUAACGGCUCACCAAGGCGACGAUGCGUAGCCGACCUGAGAGGGUGAUCGGCCACACUGGGACUGAGACACGGCCCAGACUCCUACGGGAGGCAGCAGUAGGGAAUCUUCCGCAAUGGACGAAAGUCUGACGGAGCAACGCCGCGUGAGUGAUGAAGGUUUUCGGAUCGUAAAACUCUGUUGUUAGGGAAGAACAAGUGCCGUUCGAAAGGGCGGCACCUUGACGGUACCUAACGAGAAAGCACGGCUAACUACGUGCCAGCAGCCGCGGUAAAGUC
rnacentral:rRNA from 1 species